GCCUGGGUGGCUCAGUCGGUUAAGCGUCCGACUUCGGCUCAGGUCAUGAUCUCGCGGUCCGUGGGUUCGAGCCCCGCGUCAGGCU
rfam:Felis catus isolate Cinnamon breed Abyssinian chromosome D2, whole genome shotgun sequence.